rnacentral:rRNA from 1 species
GAGGGUGAUCGGCCACACUGGAACUGAGACACGGUCCAGACUCCUACGGGAGGCAGCAGUAGGGAAUCUUCCGCAAUGGGCGAAAGCCUGACGGAGCAACGCCGCGUGAGUGAUGAAGGUCUUCGGAUCGUAAAACUCUGUUAUUAGGGAAGAACAUAUGUGUAAGUAACUGUGCACAUCUUGACGGUACCUAAUCAGAAAGCCACGGCUAACUACGUGCCAGCAGCCGCGGUAAUACGUAGGUGGCAAGCGUUAUCCGGAAUUAUUGGGCGUAAAGCGCGCGUAGGCGGUUUUUUAAGUCUGAUGUGAAAGCCCACGGCUCAACCGUGGAGGGUCAUUGGAAACUGGAAAACUUGAGUGCAGAAGAGGAAAGUGGAAUUCCAUGUGUAGCGGUGAAAUGCGCAGAGAUAUGGAGGAACACCAGUGGCGAAGGCGACUUUCUGGUCUGUAACUGACGCUGAUGUGCGAAAGCGUGGGGAUCAAACAGGAUUAGAUACCCUGGUAGUCCACGCCGUAAACGAUGAGUGCUAAGUGUUAGGGGGUUUCCGCCCCUUAGUGCUGCAGCUAACGCAUUAAGCACUCCGCCUGGGGAGUACGACCGCAAGGUUGAAACUCAAAGGAAUUGACGGC